CCCCUUCGGGGGUGUAUAAAGUGGCGAACGGCUGAGUAACACGUGGGCAACCUGCCUCUUGCUCUGGGAUAGCCACGGGAAACCGUGGGUAAUACCGGAUACUCCGUAACCAUCGCAUGGUGGAUACGGGAAAGCGCAUACGGNAAGAGAUGGGCCCGCGGCCUGUUAGCUUGUUGGUGGGGUAACGGCCUACCAAGGCAAUUAUGGGUAGCUGGGUUGAGAGACCGACCAGCCAGAUUGGGACUGAGACACGGCCCAGACUCCUACGGGAGGCAGCAGUGGGGAAUCUUGCACAAUGGGCGAAAGCCUGAUGCGGCGACGCCGCGUGCGGGAUGAAGGCCCUAUGGGUUGUAAACCGCUUUCAGCAGGGAAGAGGCCGCAAGGUGACGGUACCUGCAGAAGAAGCCCCGGCUAACUACGUGCCAGCAGCCGCGGUAAUACGUAGGGGGCAAGCGUUAUCCGGAUUCAUUGGGCGUAAAGCGCUCGUAGGCGGCUUGUUAGGUCGGGAGUCAAAUCCCGGGGCUCAACCCCGGCACGCUUCCGAUACCGGCAGGCUUGAGUUUGGUAGGGGAAAGUGGAAUUCCAAGUGUAGCGGUGGAAUGCGCAGAUAUUUGGAAGAACACCAGUGGCGAAGGCGGCUUUCUGGGCCAUAACUGACGCUGAGGAGCGAAAGCUAGGGGAGCAAACAGGAUUAGAUACCCUGGUAGUCCUAGCCGUAAACGAU
rnacentral:rRNA from 1 species